UACUUACAACUUUAUGCAUAAAAGCAUCUGUGCAUUUAGAACAUUUAGGAUACUUUCCCUGAAAAGAUAAUGGCAUUUUUCUAGUUCUGUAUGAACAAAGAGGAUUUUCACACUCUAUCCAACAUUCAUAAUAAGUAUCUAUGAAAGAUCUCAAAGCAAGUUGUAAAAUGUUUUGUAUGGCUUUGAUAUAUUUCCAUGGAGGCAUUGUACAUUCUGGAUUAGAACACUUGCUUAAUGAUAGACGAUCACCUUCAGCCUGUGAACAUAUAGUUUAAUAAUUAUAUUAAAACUUAAUUCUUUACUUCACAUUUUUCAUUUAUGCAAUUAAACUUGAAAGGUAAGCAGUACUUAAAUUUGUCUUCAUUUAUUGAAAUGGGUGCUUUAAGAUUGUCUUCUUCGCCGACUGUUGCUUUCGACUUAUAAACGUUUUCUAAACCUAUUUAUAAUAAAACAAAAAAUUAAUUAAAUCUAUAUAUACAGGAUGUCUAAAGUUUUUUUUUUUACAUACAUUGUAAGCACAUUUUACGUUCAAAAAUAAGAAAAAAAUGUUAUAUAAAGGUAAAUCAUUUAAAGCAUUAUUCAAAAGUUAUAACAUAAUUUGCAAAACUGUUUAAUGUGAUGUUCAAAGAUGAUGUUUAGCAGUUCUGCCUAUGAUGUUUAUUAUCUUAGAAUGUAUAGGUGGGCAACAUUUUGAACAACACAUUAAAACAGUUUUACAAUUUAAUUUAAAAGAUAUUUCUUCAUGUUAUAUGUACCUAAAUUCCUGGCUAAUAAUACAUCAUCUAUUCCUUCUAUUGGUUCACAAAUUCUUAAUACAACUGGAAGUAUUUGAUUCAUCAAAUAAUAAUUAAUAUCAAUUUUUAAAUUAUCCUUUUUUUUAAAUUCAUCAAUAUGAUAAGCUCUUUCCAUGGCCGACUUAUCUGUUCCAUCCUAAAAUAAAAUAAUAUAACAUUAAACCUAGAUGUAUAAUUACUUACUAAAUAAACAAAUAAAUGUGAAUAAA
rnacentral:lncRNA from 1 species